rnacentral:rRNA from 1 species
UACGAAGGGUGCUAGCGUUGUUCGGAAUUACUGGGCGUAAAGCGCGCGUAGGCGGCUUUUCAAGUCAGGGGUGAAAUCCCACGGCUCAACCGUGGAAUUGCCUUUGAAACUGUAAAGCUUGAGUGUCGGAGGGGAUAGCGGAAUUGCUAAUGUAGAGGUGAAAUUCGUAGAUACUAGCAGGAACACCGGUGGCGAAGGCGGCUAUCUGGACGACAACUGACGCUGAGGCGCGAAAGCGUGGGGAUCAAACAGG